rnacentral:rRNA from 1 species
AGUGAACGCUGGCGGUAGGCCUAACACAUGCAAGUCGAACGGCAGCACAGUAAGAGCUUGCUCUUACGGGUGGCGAGUGGCGGACGGGUGAGGAAUACAUCGGAAUCUACUUUUUCGUGGGGGAUAACGUAGGGAAACUUACGCUAAUACCGCAUACGACCUACGGGUGAAAGCAGGGGAUCUUCUGACCUUGCGCGAUUGAAUGAGCCGAUGUCGGAUUGGCUAGUUGGCGGGGUAAAGGCCCACCAAGGCGACGAUCCGUAGCUGGUCUGAGAGGAUGGUCAGCCACACUGGAACUGGGACACGGUCCAGACUCCUACGGGAGGCAGCAGUGGGGAAUAUUGGACAAUGGGCGCAAGCCUGAUCCAGCCAUACCGCGUGGGUGAAGAAGGCCUUCGGGUUGUAAAGCCCUUUUGUUGGGAAAGAAAAGCAGCAGGUUAAUACCACGCUGUUCUGACGGUACCCAAAGAAUAAGCACCGGCUAACUUCGUG